rnacentral:rRNA from 1 species
CAAUAGCGUAUAUUAAAGUUGUUGCAGUUAAAAAGCUCGUAGUUGGAUUUCGGGGUGGCCUGGCUGGUCCGCCGCAAGGUGAGUACUGGUCAGCCGCCCUUCCUCUCGAAAGCCCCGACUGCUCUUUACUGCAGUGGUCGGGUAGUUCGGGACGUUUACUUUGAAAAAAUUAGAGUGUUCAAGGCAGGCUAUCGCCUGAAUACAUUAGCAUGGAAUAAUGGAAGAGGACCUCGGUCCUAUUUUGUUGGUUUCUAGGGCCGAAGUAAUGAUUAAGGGGGACAGUUGGGGGCAUUCGUAUUUAAUUGUCAGAGGUGAAAUUCUUGGAUUUAUGAAAGACGAACUAGUGCGAAAGCAUUUGCCAAGGAUGUUUUCAUUAA